rnacentral:rRNA from 1 species
GACGAACGCUGGCGGCGUGCUUAACACAUGCAAGUCGAACGGAAAGGCCCUGCUUUUGUGGGGUGCUCGAGUGGCGAACGGGUGAGUAACAAGUGAGUAACCUGCCCUUGACUUUGGGAUAACUUCAGGAAACUGGGGCUAAUACCGGAUAGGAGCUCCUGCUGCAUGGUGGGGGUUGGAAAGUUUCGGCGGUUGGGGAUGGACUCGCGGCUUAUCAGCUUGUUGGUGGGGUAGUGGCUUACCAAGGCUUUGACGGGUAGCCGGCCUGAGAGGGUGACCGGCCACAUUGGGACUGAGAUACGGCCCAGACUCCUACGGGAGGCAGAAGUGGGGAAUAUUGCACAAUGGGCGGAAGCCUGAUGCAGCAACGCCGCGUGCGGGAUGACGGCCUUCGGGUUGUAAACCGCUUUCGCCUGUGACGAAGCGUGAGUGACGGUAAUGUGUAAAGAAGCACCGGCUAACUACGUG